UUCCAUGAUCGCCAUAAGAUGCACGAGAGCGAAAGCAUUUCACUCAAUUGCGUUCAUUAAUCAAGAACGAAAGUUAGGGGAUCGAAGACGAUUAGAUACCGUCGUAGUCCUAACUAUAAACGAUGUCAACCAAGGAUUGGAUUAGUUUUAGAGUGACAGAAGUCCGGUAACACUGUUACUGGGCUGACGGAUCUCGCUUCCACCUUAUUCAGAACUUAAAGAGAAAUCUUGAGUUUAUGGACUUCAGGGGGAGUAUGGUCACAAGGCUGAAACUUAAAGGAAUUGACGGAAGGGCACACCAGGAGUGGAGCCUGCGGCUUAAUUUGACUCAACACGGGAAAACUUACCAAGACCGAACAGUAUUAGGAAUGACAGAUUAAGGGUUCUUUCAUGAUUUAUUGGGUAGUGGUGCAUGGCCGUUCUUAGUUGGUGGAGUGAUUUGUCAGGUUAAUUCCGGUAACGAACGAGACUGAAGCCUAUUAAUUAGUUUCUCGCCUAUACGACGAGAAUGUCCGUAUGGAUGGAUGCUCUCGCAUCACUUCUUAAAGGGACUAAUAUCAAUUGUUUCCAGGUUGAUCAGUGCGACCAUCUCGAUGGUACCUUUUCAAUCGGAAAAAAAGAUAAUGGAAGCAUUCAGCAAUAACAGGUCUGUGAUGCCCUUAGACAUCUUGGGCUGCACGCGCGCUACAAUGGAGAUACUAGCGAGUAUUUGUCGGGAAUGCUCGGUUUAUCGGCUCUGUCGGUGAAUCGAGAUUUUUUCCGGUGUACCGAGACUGAAAUAGUUUAGGAAAACUCAAAAGAUCGUACAUGACAGG
rnacentral:rRNA from 1 species